rnacentral:ncRNA from 1 species
UUGAAUGCUAUGAGGAAAAGAGUAACUAAAAUAAAUUAUUAAAGCGAGCUAGUGAUAGUGAAAGUCUAGUAUAAUUUUUUUAGUGAAAGGCAUUUCUGAGCAUUAUUAUAAAGCGGACAUUUUUUAUGUCAAGUAGGGUGGAACCGCGGAAGUAACCUUUCGUCCCUAUA